AUUGAACGCUGGCGGCAGGCUUAACACAUGCAAGUCGAGCGGAGAUGAGGUGCUUGCACCUUAUCUUAGCGGCGGACGGGUGAGUAAUGCUUAGGAAUCUGCCUAUUAGUGGGGGACAACAUUCCGAAAGGAAUGCUAAUACCGCAUACGUCCUACUGGAGAAAGCAGGGGAUCUUCGGACCUUGCGCUAAUAGAUGAGCCUAGGUCGGAUUAGCUAGUUGGUGGGGUAAAGGCCUACCAAGGCGACGAUCUGUAGCGGGUCUGAGAGGAUGAUCCGCCACACUGGGACUGAGACACGGCCCAGACUCCUACGGGAGGCAGCAGUGGGGAAUAUUGGACAAUGGGGGGAACCCUGAUCCAGCCAUGCCGCGUGUGUGAAGAAGGCCUUAUGGUUGUAAAGCACUUUAAGCGAGGAGGAGGCUACUGAGACUAAUACUCUUGGAUAGUGGACGUUACUCGCAGAAUAAGCACCGGCUAACUCUGUGCCAGCAGCCGCCGUAA
rnacentral:rRNA from 1 species